ACUCCUACGGGAGGCAGCAGUGGGGAAUAUUGCACAAUGGGCGCAAGCCUGAUGCAGCCAUGCCGCGUGUAUGAAGAAGGCCUUCGGGUUGUAAAGUACUUUCAGCAGUGAGGAAGGUGGGUAUGUUAAUAGCAUACUCAUUUGACGUUAGACUGCAGAAGAAGCACCGGCUAACUCCGUGCCAGCAGCCGCGGUAAUACGGAGGGUGCGAGCGUUAAUCGGAAUUACUGGGCGUAAAGCGCAUGCAGGUGGUUUGUUAAGUCAGAUGUGAAAGCCCGGGGCUCAACCUCGGAAUUGCAUUUGAAACUGGCAAACUAGAGUACUGUAGAGGGGGGUAGAAUUUCAGGUGUAGCGGUGAAAUGCGUAGAGAUCUGAAGGAAUACCGGUGGCGAAGGCGGCCCCCUGGACAGAUACUGACACUCAGAUGCGAAAGCGUGGGGAGCAAAACAGGAUUAGAUCCCCCUGGUAGGCUCUGC
rnacentral:rRNA from 1 species